rnacentral:rRNA from 1 species
AUCGAACGCUGGCGGCAGGCCUAACACAUGCAAGUCGAGCGGAUGAAGGGAGCUUGCUCCUGGAUUCAGCGGCGGACGGGUGAGUAAUGCCUAGGAAUCUGCCUGGUAGUGGGGGAUAACGUCCGGAAACGGGCGCUAAUACCGCAUACGUCCUGAGGGAGAAAGUGGGGGAUCUUCGGACCUCACGCUAUCAGAUGAGCCUAGGUCGGAUUAGCUAGUUGGUGGGGUAAAGGCCUACCAAGGCGACGAUCCGUAACUGGUCUGAGAGGAUGAUCAGUCACACUGGAACUGAGACACGGUCCAGACUCCUACGGGAGGCAGCAGUGGGGAAUAUUGGACAAUGGGCGAAAGCCUGAUCCAGCCAUGCCGCGUGUGUGAAGAGGGUCUUCGGAUUGUAAAGCACUUUAAGUUGGGAGGAAGGGCAGUAAGUUAAUACCUUGCUGUUUUGACGUUACCAACAGAAUAAGCACCGGCUAACUUCGUG